rnacentral:lncRNA from 1 species
GUGGGGGGGGGGGGGGGGGGGGCAGGGGGGGGGGGGGUGUGGAAGGGGGGGGGGGUGUGCAAGGGGGUCGUGGGUGUGCAAGGGGUGUGCAAGGGUGUGCAAGGGUGUCAGGCGUGUGCAAGGGGAUCACAGGUGUGCAAGGGGGCUGUGGGCGUGCAAACGGGUCAAGCGUGCAAGGCGCGUGCAAAAGGCACCGGGGUGCUCCCCGGGGGUUUCCGCACCUGCAAGGGGUGUGCAAGGAGACCAGGGGUGUGCAAGGGGUCUGCAUGGGGUCCGUGGGUGUGCGAGAGGUCCGUGGGUGUGCGAGGGGUCCGUGGGUGUGCAAGGGGGCUGUGGGUGUGCAAGGGGGCUGUGGGUGUUCAUGGGGGGGCAAGCGUACGAGGCGACCCAUGGGGGUGAGCCCGGGGAGGGGGGGGGGUCAAGGCGUGCGAGGGGACCCUGGGCAUGCGAGGGGCGUGCAAGGGGCGUGCAAAGGGCGCGUGCAAGCCGCGGGGGGGGGCAGCUGUUCCUGUUCCAGCUGCUGCGGGGCCUGGCCUUCUGCCACCGGCACAAGGUGCUGCACCGCGACCUCAAGCCCCAGAACCUGCUGCUCAGCCGCCGCGGGGAGCUCAAGCUGGCCGACUUCGGUGGGUGGCCCCGGAACGGGGCACGGGGACCCCGAAACGGGGCAUGGGGACCCCAAAAAAGGGCUUCGGGAGCCCAAAAAGGGGCUUCGGGACCCCAAAAAGGGGCCUGGGGACCCCAAAAAGGGGCUUGGGGAGCCCAAAAAGGGGCUUGGGGACCCCAAAAAGGGGCCUGGGGACCCCAAAAAGGGGCUUGGGGAGCCCAAAAAGGGGCUUGGGGACCCCAAAAUGGCCCUUAGGGACCCCAAAAAGGGGCUUGGGGACCCCAAAAUGGCCCUUAGGGACCCCAAAAAGGGGCUUCGGGACCCCAAAAAGGGGCUUGGGGACCUCAAAAAGGGGCUUGGGGAGCCCAAAAAGGGGCUU